CCUGCUCUAAAAUACAGGCCGUAAGCACGCAUGAAAAGAGCCACUCGAGCUGAUACCGUAGCGGGCUGCUGCAUAGCUGCGAUUAGUGAACGGACGGGAUACACCACCUCAUCCUUGCGGCGACUGACAUAUGGGCAAACUGUCACUUGUUUCGGGAGCUGGUUGUGCGUACACUUCUUCGCUUUUACUCUCGAUGAAACCGGAAUAGUAGCAAGUCGUCUACAUUCGACCUGUGCAAUGGGUACGCUGAAGCAACGUUGCCUAGCAUAGCGUUACGUCAACAUUGGGUAACGGGCAAUUGAGCAAUACACAGAAGGAUGCAACGAUAUAUCAUUAUCCGUGUCUUAACGUACUUCGGGAGGUCAGUGAAAGCCAUUCUGGUCGUACACUGCAGGUGAUUCAUUGCCUUCACCGUGUGUCACGACAGAAACAAACUUAUAUCUUCCCGAUGACUUCUUCAGACAAGGACGUUUUGCGCAGCAGUGAGCCGGGCUGCUGUGUCAGCGGGAAAAAGGGAUAUAAGUACCCAUCUUUCGUACGCACUACGUGUUUCUCUAUUCUUGCGAUUGUUACGCCUAACUUCCAACUGUGAAAAAUAGAUGGGGCUGGGGGAUGUUAUCACAAAAUGUGUGCUUCGCCGACGAACAUGCAAAGCACUACUUGUUCAACUCGCAUAUAGGGACACAGAAUGCUUCAUUGUUAUGUUACGGAACCUGUUGGCAAUUUGGCCGUAGAAAUUGUUAUUCCAUGACUCCUCGCUCAACAUUGGCCAUAACCGUUUCCUUUCAUGUGUUCCUGAAGACUGUAAGCGGUGCCAUGAGUGAAGUGACUGUGCACUGACAGAUUACAGUGACGGAUAAGACUGCAUUUCGCCUUCGCAUCGAGCCACCAGUUGUUCAGGAACUUCCCGUAAUUUUGGUAUUAGCCACAAACACGAGCUAACGUUUCGGGUCCUACAUACAGAGGUGCAUUGUUUGCUUUUAGUCAGGUAGAAAUCGGAUCCACCACUGACCGGAGGAGCAGGAACAUCAUAAAGUCGAUCCUGAAAAGGCAGAUGCCGACUCUGUGCAGGUGAAAUGGCACCUUCGUGGUGCGACACAGGUGAAGUAAACAAAUGUGGUUACCGGUACUCAGGGAGGCGACACCAAGCACCAUCCAAAAAGGGAAUCUAGCCAUCCACUUUGAACGCCGAAGGCCAGCGGAUUUUAAUUUAAUUUGCAAGAUAACCAAGCAAAUUGCAUCACAGUGAACGUAUUACUUCGAGAACCCCUCGGUCGGGGGGUUGACUGUGUAUCAUUUCGCUCUCAAGAGGAAUGUAUCUGGCUUAUAUACGUCACCUCAUCCUGAUCGCAAUUGCUGAAUGUAGCACACCAUUUUCGUCCGAAUCGUGGUUAUGCUUGAAUCACUGUGUGCCGGCACUUCCGCGUCCAGCCUUCAUGCGCUGCAAUUAAGAGCAACCGUCCUAGUCCGUUCUGUGCUGACAAACGGGUGCGUCUUGCCCGGCAAGCAAGCCAGCGUUUCGUGUUGUAAAAAACAAAUCCAAACCUCACCAACUUCAAGUUGGGAGCACCGCUGAACCAAAGUGAAAUCCUUUCUUCGGUGCAUAGCCGCAUACAUCACGGUGUAUGAACUGAUCGAACAAGUGUAAAACGAGGGCCUGGCAGACAGUCAACUAGGCAAACGCCUCUUUACGGAAACACCGACCCUGGACGAUGAUGAUAAGAAUGCAGUCGCAGACUGCGUAGCAUGAUGUGGAGAGGUUCUCAUCGGAACAGCACCGGAUGUCGUUUACGUGAGUUCUUUUUGUGAAGGGAUUCAACUAUGUGAGCUCAGCACAGGAAACGUCUACAGGGUUUGAUAAGGUAGUAACGCGUUGAUAUAAUCUAAACGCAUGUGCCACUCUGGCAUUCAUUAGAAAACCGGACUACUGUUGAUCGUUUGUCUUGGAGUUUCACCGUGCCUGCAGCGAACUGCUAGGAGGCAUAUCUUGGAGUUGCACAGUAUCUCUUGACCGGUGCAGACCGUGAGCGAAACAAUGCUAACAUGGGGCGAUCCCAUCUUGUGCUUACCUUCGCCCUGCAACAACAGGUCGGGGAACACAUUAAAUGAUGCAAUAGAAAAAACUGGUUUCCGUUGGCUCUUCGUCAUUUACAAUCAGGCAGUAAGCGCUGAGCCCAUGCGCACGACUACCAGCAUCCUAGCCGCACAAACUACGUUGCCACCUACGCGACACGAUAUCUCAUGUUGGUCAAUGAAGUCAAAGCGACGUUUUUUCCUGGUACACGCCGGCAGAUUGUAAGUUUCUAUCGUCUGCUGGAGUGUGUUACGUCUAGCCAGCAGAGUUCUUCUAUUUCAAGGAAUGUGGCACAAAUACAUUAUCGUAGGGCGUUUUGUAGCGUCAAGACUGCCCUACCAAUUCUGCAUCUGCUCUCAUGCGAAUCCCUGGUUGUCCACCUUUUAAUGUGAUGUCUACGCUGGAAGCAAUACUUGUCCUGACGCACUAUUGCGGCAUAUGGUAGGCCUCGGUUAUGAAGCUGCGAGCUAGCCAAUGUGGACGUGCCGCCGUAUUCAUAAACGAGUAUGAGGACGAAUUUUUUUCGUUCCCGCUAUUCAUGAGUGACCUCGCGCGAGAACGCAAUUUGCUUACCCAAACGUUUUACGCGCAAACUUGAGAAUCUACCCCGAAAUAAGAUAAAUUACAAGUUCAUAAUACAUAAUGGCGGAUACCCAGAGAACCAUAAUAGACGCUGAUCCAAUACCCUAUCUCCAGCGUGCCUUCAGCUGUCGCCCUGGGCUUCUGUGAUAAUGAAUGAAUCGGAGCGGCCUCUUGAAUUUUGAAGCGAACAACUUUUUUUUUCUCUCUCUGCUGUCAAGGCCAUAAGCGUGGCUUGUCGAUUGCCGGCACGCGUGUGAGAUCCCUUGUGACUCAGGCUGGCCUGCCUGUUAACCUUCGCAUUUCGUGUACAACAAUACGAUUUUGUGAGACUGCAUGUUGCGAGCUUACGUUUUUUCCAGCUAGUAAGGCGGCACUGAAGCAAGUUGGUUUUUUAGCGAGGCUUUGCUCAACUCGCUUAGUGAUGUGGCUGCACGCAAAACGAAGUGUCUGCUUUUUCGCCACGCUUCUGCUCUUGAGAUGUCUGUGCACUUUGCUAAAUUAAAGCUCAUACACUCCUUUUGCACACUUCUUAGUGGUACUGAAUCACUUUUCACUCCGCUCUUGUGUUUAUCUCGUAUUUUUUGUAAGCGACAAAGAACCGACCUUCCCACUACCAGCGGCACUGGCCCGUUUGGUGUACGACACGUGGUGGUGCAAUUGUACGAGUUGCUACGCUCUCCCUCAGUUGUUCAUCACGAUUUCUUAACGGAACACCUGCUGCUUCUACUGUCCGCCUACUCAGGCAGUGAGUAGCCAGCUGAUGUCUCCUGAGCUAGAGAAGAACCUGUAAUGGCAUUUCUGCAGCACUUUGUCAUGCGUAAUCAUGAUUGAGAAUGUGGACCGCAUGCAUCAAGUAACAGAAAUGCUAAGAAAACGGUGGUAGCAAUAUCGCAGGUAGUAUUGUCGGCAUAAAUGACGGAUGAAUAGCAUCAAUACAAGCCUGGACGUUUUAAGUUGCCGGACGCUGUUGUUCAGCAGUCGCG
rnacentral:lncRNA from 1 species